UGUAUCAUGAUGAAACUCAUGCGUGUCAACUGACUCUGGAAGCGCCCUGCUGGGUUAGCGCUCUGGUGGGCGUUUUGCUCACCUGAGUUGCAAGCCUGAGCAGGGGCCCGGGGAUGUGAUCUUAGAUCUCUUCUGAAUACA